rnacentral:rRNA from 1 species
AGUAAUACAUAAGUAACCUGCCCUAGACAGGGGGAGUAACUAUUGGAACGAUAGCUAAGACCGCAUAGGUACGGACACUGCAUGGUGACCGUAUUAAAAGUGCCUCAAAGCACUGGUAGAGGAUGGACUUAUGGCGCAUUAGCUGGUUGGCGGGGUAACGGCCCACCAAGGCGACGAUGCGUAGCCGACCUGAGAGGGUGACCGGCCACACUGGGACUGAGACACGGCCCAG